rnacentral:snRNA from 1 species
GAUCAGGUUACUUAGUUGUAGU